GGGUCAAUGAUGAGAACUCAUAUUGUCUUGAAGAGAGAUGAUGACCUAUAAAAAGCAUGCUCAAUAGGAUUACACUGAGGCCC
rnacentral:snoRNA from 1 species